ensembl:lncRNA
CCUCUGCUUCCUUCUCCUGGUGCCAGACAGGCAGACUUUGCAAUGCCACUGUGUGUGACUACCUUGAGCAGCAGUUUGAGGGACUUUGCAGGGAAAAUGCAAUGCAGUGAGGCGUAGAGGAUUGACUGCAGCAAGACGACCCUCAGUGGAAUAGCACAGAUGGGUGUGGUGCUCCUCCUUUGGUGGUCCACCUUCCCUGUGGCCGACAUGUUUGCUGUAUGGACAGUGGAGAGGACACAGAUGUCUCGCUUUUCAUGCCACUUUACUGUCAGCUGUUGGCUGUUCUAUUUGAACCUUCCCUCUCUGCAUCUUCCUGCCUCCGAAUGCUAACAUCCCCUUCCUGUUCAACCUGACUGUGACACAAGCCCUGUGUUGUUGGAGAGGAGAUGCUGGAAGAGUGUGGGACUGCUGUACCAAUUGUCCACAUACAAAGUGUGUCCCUUGCCGAGAUGAGGAGCCAGCAUGGUCAUCACCAAGGACCCAAACACCCCAAGCGCCUCAUAAUGUUGGAUGUCAGUGGUGGACCCUGUGUAAACUAUAAUGUCCUGGAGAAUUCCUGUCUUUAUGUAACACAUGAAAAACAACUUGACCCCAAACCUGUGCCUUUUGGAUGGAAUACAUUGACAGAGCGCUAGCUUUCCAUAUCAUCAGGGAUUCAUCAAUGCAUAGGUCCUUGUAUGGCACAAAGACCCAACCAAAUGCUGAUGUCAGGCUGGUAAGAACAUUUAUUAUUUUGUAUAACGGGUCAUUUAGGUUGGCAAUAGCAUUGUUGACGAAAUGCAGGCAUCGCAGCAGAACUAGGAAGCUUUCUUGGGAAAAGAGGGUGGCAAAGAAGGGAGUUGCAAACAUAAGAUCUGUGCUCCAGUAUUCUAUUAGAGAGUUCUUCUUUACCAUUCCCAUGAGAAGGACUGUCACCAGGAAGGUAUACAUUUCACUAAUUGUGGUUGUCACCCAUUUAGCGAGUUUCCCCCCACUCUUGGCUCUCUCUUCUCCUGCGCUAAGGCAUAGUGAUUGGUCUCCUCUACUAUGUCACCCACCAGCUCCUCAGAAAUAGCUUGAAGCACUCUGCCUCAGAUGGAAUUGGUGAGGGGCUUUGCGCUCAAGACUGGGAUUCAUCAAAGCAAACAGCAGGGCCAGGAGGGGUGAAAUGGCUGGCGGCCUUCCAGCUACCACAGAACUCCUGUACUUCAUCCACUGUGAGUCUGACUCUAUCACCACCAGCAUCUUCAAAGGGACCAAGGGGUCCUCAGAUUCAGGGUUCUCAAUGUCUACAAGGUUGUGGGGGCAGCUCCUCACUGUCACUGUCAGAAUCCGAUUCCUGACUUUCAUACUUUCAUACAGACUCAUUGUCAGGGUUGAUAAAAAUCUCCAUAAUUUCCGCAUUUGAAAGUAAUUGCUAAUGCUACAGCUUAGCUCACUAGCUACAUACAUAAAUAACAACACUGAAUGGCUCAGAGUGAGGUUACGUGAUUGACUGCUGGCACGCGCCACUUGUAUCAAUAAAU